AUGUGCGUAGGCCACAACUCCAGGAUGCUAAAAUUGAGUGCGGUCACCACGCAUACAACCAAACAUAGCUACUGCAUGAAAUCACGAUCGUACGUGGUGGAGGCGGCAGCGGCAGCGAAUAGGUCAUUAGGGCAUGGCAGGGCGGCUGCCAUGGGCCGGCGAGGUGGUGAACAGCGACUCAGCGAGGCCGUGAGGAUAUGGGUAUAUAAAGGAAUUGAUCUUGCUGAAAUUAAGAAAGAAUUUCAAAAUAUACCAAGAAGAAUGCCUUUGCCACAGUCAAUAAAGCUUUAUUAUAGGAAUGGAAAGGUCACAUGGUUGAGGAUCUAUGCUUGUUGUGGUUGCAGUCCUGUGGAUCAAGGUGUUGUUCUCGAGUGCUAG
rnacentral:rRNA from 1 species